rnacentral:rRNA from 1 species
GUUAAAAAGCUCGUAGUUGGAUUUCUGUCAGUGAGGUUCAGUCCGCCCCAGCGGUUGGUACGUGAUCCGCCACUGGCAUCUUCCUGGGGAAUGUGUCUGCCAUUAAUUUGGUGGUGCAUAAGCCAGGACUUUUACUUUGAAGAAAUGAGAGUGUUUCAAGCAGGCAUGCGCCGUGAAUACGUUAGCAUGGGAUAAUAGCAUCGGACCUCGUUCCAAAGCUGUUGGUUUCUUGGACCGAGGUAAAGGUGGAUAGGGAUUGUUGGGGGCAUUCGUAUUUGACUGUCAGAGGUGAAAUUCUUGGAUUUGUUGAAGACGGACUACUGCGAAAGCAUCUGCCAAAGAUGUUCUCAUUGAUCAAGAACGAAAGUUAGGUGAUCGAAGACGAUCAGAUACCGUCCUAGUCUUAACCAUAAACUAUGCCGACUGGAGAUCGGGGGUCGUUAAUUAUGUGACGCCCUCUGCAUCUUGAGAGAAAUCAAAGUCUUUGGGUUCCGGGGGGAGUAUGGUCGCAAGGCUGAAACUUAAAGGAAUUGACGGAAGGGCACCAACAGGAGUGGAGCCUGCGGCUUAAUUUGACUCAACACGGGAAAACUUACCAGGUCCAGACAUAGUAAGGAUUGACAGACUGAUAGCUCUUUCGAGAUUU